UGACUUUAAAAUGUCAGUUACUGAUUUACAGACAGGUGCAAAAAAAAAAAAAAUCCUCUUUUACAACCCAGAACUCAUUGCUAAGUAUGAGUUUUGAUACAUAUAAGAAGGAAUAUU
rnacentral:snoRNA from 1 species